CGGGAGGCGGAGGUUGCAGUGAGCCGAGAUCAUGCCACUGCACUCCAGCCUGGGUGACAGAGUGAGACUUCGUCUCAAAAAAUAAUUUUUUUUUUUUGAGAUGGAGUUUCACUCUUGUUGCCCAGGCUGGAGUGCAGUGGUGCGAUCUCAGCAGCUCACCGCACCUUCUGCCUCCCG
rnacentral:pre_miRNA from 1 species